AAACACAACUGGUUUGUGUAUGUUGAUUUUGUAUCCUGAAACUUCACUGAAUUUGUUGAGUAGUUCUAACAGUUUCUUUGGUGCAGUCUUAGGAUUUUCUAUAUAUAAGAUAUCAUCUGCAAGGAAAGACCAUUUUUCUCUUCCCUAUUUGAUUUGGAUGACUUUUAUCUUUUUCCUGCCUAGUUUUUCUGGCUAAGACAUCUAGUACUAUGUUUAAUAGGUGUGGUGAGAGUGGGUACCCUUGUCUGGUUCUUGAUCUUAGAGGAAAAUCUUUCAAACUUUUGCCAUUGGUAUGAUGUGGGCUUGUCAUACAUGGCCUUUGUUAUGUUGUUGUAUGUUCCUUCUAUACCAAAUUUGUUGAGCAUUUUUAUAACGAAAAGAUGUUGUAUUUUGUCAAAUGCUUUUCCUGCAUCUAUUGAGAUGACCAUAUGAUUUUUUUUCCUUUCAUUCUACUUGAAGAAGCAGUCACUUCUUCCAGACUUUUGGGCUGACUUUGGUAAGGAAAGACCCUCACUUGCAGGUGGGGGCAGGCUGAAGUGUAGUGUGACCCUGGGUCUAGUCAUGUAGGGUGCCAAGUACAGGGAUGUGUGGUGACUCCCAGCCCAGGAGAGUGAUGUCUUGUUGGUUCAGGCUGCUUGGGUCCGCAACAUUGACAACUGUGUGGUCCUUGUCAAGUGUUGUGGGGCUCUGCAGUGGCUGCAAGGGCUGUGGCGUCCUCAGUGCCACCUCUAAGUCCAGUGGCUGGGGACCAGGGUGGGCAGUGGUAGUGGCCACAGCAUGAAGAAUGCAUGCACUUGGCUGUGGAGGCCAGCUGCAGCUGCUUUGUAGUGGCAGGGGCUGGUUGUAGCCCCAUGUGUACUAAUGGGGGCCAGGGCCAGCAGAAGAGACCAGGGUCAACUCUGGGUGCACUAGUAGCUGCCGUGGCCCUGGCUGUUGGUGUGUACUCCUGCAGUGCAGGGUCUCCCUGCAGGCACACACACGGCAGUGGAGGGUGGUGACAAGGCUCAGGUUGGGGGUAUGCAGGUGCACUGCUGGGGAGUCUGUUGUAGAUGCACGCAGUGGUACAGGCCAGCAACUGGAGAUAAGGCCAAAUCUAGGCCCACAAGCAGCUGUGAGUGCCUUGGUUGUUGGUGUGCACUUCUGUCGCUACAAGAUCUCACCACAGGCACACACACAGAAGUAGCGACUGGCGACAUGAGUCAGACUGGUGAUGUGCAAGUGCACAGCUGGAGGGGCUAGCCCCAAGUGUGCGCACAGUGGUGGGGGUCAGUUAUGGGUGUCUAGGCUGGUGUCUUGCAUUCAUGCAGAUGCAGGGGCCUGGGCUGGCUGUCAGCAUGGAUCCUAGGCUCCUACAAGGCCUUGGGGAAGGGAGCCAGGACCCACUCAGGUGGUUGGUGCAUACCUAUGGAGUGAAAACCAGUGAAAUUUUCAGGGGACCCGCAGCAGCUGCAGUGGCCAUUGGUUUUUUCAGUGGUGAAAGCUGCUGGGGUCCUCUGCACAGAAGGGCAUUAGGAAUCGCAGUUGCUCCCACUGUGUGGCUGAUACCUGUAGCCCAUGCUGUUCUUCCUUGUUCUCAGCCAUUUCUAUACAUCUCGUUUUUGCUGGUCUCCAGUGGGGUAAAACCAAAAUGGGUCCUUUGUUCAGUGCUCCGAAAGGCUGGGAAGCUGGUCACUCACUCUGCUCUCCCUUUCCAGGAGGGGAACUUUUUCUAGCUGGGGAGCUCCCUUUCAGCACUGAGCAGUGCCAGCCUGGGGGAUGGCAUGAGGCAGACAAAACAAAGCUGUUCUUCCUUCCCUUUCUGUGCAGUUUUUCUCGGGCUUUUUGUUCCACUGUGUUGUUGAAGUUUUUUAAGUUGACUCUGGGGCUUUCUUCGAGCUGUUUUUGGUCAUGGAUAGCUGUCUAAUUGCUGAUCAUUGUUGGGGGAUAGAGGCUGGGGUCUCCUACUUCACCAUUUUUGUGACAUCUCUCCAGAAUGAUUUCUAUGAUCCCUUUUACUUUAGGACUUAAGAGCCAUAAUGAGGAUUCUGCAAUUUCUUGGAAAGUUAUGCUGUUGAUUUCUCAAAGAAAGUUGUCGCUAAUACUGAUGAUAAAUGAAAGUUUUGUAAAACAAUUUAACUGGAGACAAAUAUUCCCAAUCUACUUAUGCAAAGAGCCAGAGAUAAUAAUUGAGUAAGUUGCAGAAUUUGGAUGAAACUGAAAUAAUGAAACUAUUUAUUGGCUGCAGCUCGUUACACAGGUCCUAGAAAUACUGUCCUAUCACUACAUGCUUGUGAGAAAAUGCUAAAGGGGCUUGGAUGUAUUAAAUUCUACAUUCUUAAAAUGGGUUCCCAUGGUGGUUAUAUGGUGACAAGUUGACAUGGUAGAAUGAAGAGAUAAAACUAGCUGGUGAAGGGUUGUACCUUCAUAGUCCAAUUUAAUUAUAGAAAACAAACGCACAGAUGGUUUUCAAUAACAUAAAUAAAAUUCUAGCAUUUUAUCUUGCGGCAUUUAUGAAUGAAAUAAAGGACCACUCGUUUUCCAUCCUUUCUUAGUUUCUUUGAUUCUAGGGUCUGUGCUUUUUCUCCAUGUACCAAAUGUCUCCCUAGGAGAUUCCCAUAUUAGGACAUCUACUGUGGUGGUCAUUUCUGCCUUAGCAAGGAUAAGUUGGUCAUAUUAACUAGCUGAGAAAACAGACAGUGGGCUAUCAUGUGACAGUUGACAGGUAAGUCUUGCUAAGAAGCAGGCAUGUGGGAUACAGACAUAAAAUAGAUUUUUGGGAAACAUAGUGGAGCAAAAUUUGAAAUUUGCCUUUCAGUACAACCUCCUUUUUCUUAAAACAUUCUCCUUUCCACAGUCACCACACUCUGGAAUCUCAUGCUGCUUAAUUUAUGAUCAAUUCAUUUAUACAAAUGUGUAACAAUACAUUUUCCUUCCUAAAAGCAUUUGCGCCUUUAAAAAAAUGCUAUUUUGUUUAACUCAAGAAAUGCAUUGCUAAUAGGGACAGUCAAGGCUAUGGGGAAAGAGUCAUUUGAAGGAGGUUUGGGGAAAGCCAGCGAUAGAAACUUCACCUGGACUUCCUGGACAGGUAGAAGGAAGUUCAAAGGGACAGGGAAGCUGUGUGUACUGAGGGGAGAGUCGAUGGUAAGAACUGAAAAGAUAAAAAUGCUGACCAUCACCAAUGGAUGCAAGUCACGGAGAAGGUAAACUAGGGUGAUGGUGUUGGAAGGAUAAAAUUGGCUUUAGUUCUGGAGAUUGUCUGAUAACUCUUAUCUUCAAACUUUUGAAGGACAAAGUCAGCUCCUUCCCAUUUUGUGAUGCACAGCUUGGGUUCAAGAGAGGACCCAUUCCAGGCCAGGAGCAGAUCCACGAGGCCUUGUGAGAAGAGGCCAGGCUUCCCCGGAAUUCAGUCUUCUCUUCUAGGUCUUUAGUCUUGGCAUAUUUCAACCAACGUACGUUCCAUGAAUAUUCUAUUCAUGAACAUUUUUAAAACUUUUCUUUUGUGGAAAAGUUUCAAACGUACACAAAAGUAGAGAGAACAGUAUAAUGAACCGCAUGUACCAGCUUCACCCAAUUUCAACAAUUAUUAAUAUUUCUUGGACUUAUUUCCUGUAAUCCCACAUAAUACUCCCCUCAUUCCCUUUUACGCUAAAGUACUGUGAAGCAAAUCCCAGACAGCAUGUCAUUUUACCUGUAAAUACUUCAGUAAAAUCAUGGCCAUCUUAAUUUAAUAAUCAUAGAUAGAGGAAGGAGAAUAAAAUAGAUUAUUAUAGUUUACAUUUAUUAGUUCUACUGUGUUCAGAACUCUGUGCUAAGCAUUUUUGCAUUGCAUUAUUUUAUGUCAUUCUUUCACUCUUCCAGUCACUAGGCAUAACUGUUCUCACUUUUCUGAAGGGGAAACUGAAGCACUGAGAGGUGUAGUAAAUUGCCAAAGGCCACACAGCUAGGAGGCGAGGCAACUGGGAUUCAAAUGUUCUUUGUCUGCUCUGCAACUUGUGCCCUUGACCACUAUAUACAAAUGUUUCACCACUACAACAUCUGGUCUUAUGAAAAUAGACCCACGAGGAACAUCUUUGCAUGGGUGAAAGAACUGCUUUGCAUAAAACUAUUUGUUCUAUUGCUUAGGGCCUUAUAUAAAUUCCUCGUUGAUUGAGCAUGUUUGGGCAGAAGGCGUCUUGGCGUCAGAGUCAUGCGUCUUUAGAUUGGCACAUUGUUCUGUCACAUUAUGGUUGUGAGACUUUGGGUAAGUUCCUCAAAGUCUGAGCCUCAAUUUUCUCAUCAAUUCCUGUGAAGAUUAAAUGAGACACUUGAAAGUCUAGAACAGUCCACUUUAUGGAGACUGGAGGCCAGUAUAUUGGUAUUCUGCCUCCGCUUUCUCUUCCUCCCAUCUCCCCACUACAUCUCACUGUGAGUGUGCUUUCCCUCCCACUCCCACCACCUCGCCUCCAUGCUAUACAGUCAAGGCUAUCUUUAUAGCCAUAUAUCCUUGGUUUCCUCAUUUAGUACUUUUUGGGGGAAUAAUUUCUACUCCUUUACCUUCUCUUCUACACAUUUUUAAAUGUCCAAGCAUGGCCAUUGCCUUGUGUUAAUUUUGUGCAUUAUUCUCAUUAUAUGUUUAGUGUAAGCCACCUAAAACACUUCCACAAAUUCGGCAGGGUAUAAAUGACCUAUCUCGUUAUUUAAUGUCUCAUUCUCUACGGGAUCGUGAAGUAGUAUGUGCUGCAUGAGCCAUGCUGCAUUUUUGUCAUCGUUAUGUUGUCAAUUUCAAUUAAAGCUGAGAACAUCUGAUGAAUAGAUGGGGGUGGCCAGGGGAGGGGAGGGUCAGAUAGGCUGAGGAUUGUUUUGACAGCCUGGCAUAUUCUUCAAACCAAUUUACAAGGCUGUUUUAAUUACUUUGGCAACUCUCCUUGGAACCCUCUCCAAGUUCCCCACAUUAAAAAGUCUUCUCAUCAGCACAACCAAAAUUAUCAAUGAUUAAAAUGUCAUAAACCCCCCAGUUCUCUGCUGGGCUCAUCAUAUGGAUGGACUCUACGGUUUUUAUAGUCUGAUGUGUCAAGCUGAUUCUCUGGUUGCCAUUGGAAACAGUUUAGAGCUCUUAAAAAACACUGAAUAAGCUCUUCAGGUCAGUGUAGCAUAUUCAUAUUGUGACUACUGAAUGAAUCAAAUUGGAUUAAAGAAUCUUUUAUAGAGAAUUAAAAGGGGCUUCUUGUUGGAAACUGGUACAUUAUUAGUUGACACUGGGAAACUUACAUGAAGAGAUUAGACAUCCAUCUACGUAGUAUGACUCAAUCACAUGUACAAUUAAAUGUAAUUUUGACCUUGUUGAGACCUGCAGAAUAUAAAUGAAAACAAGUAUGUGUGCACAGGUAUACAUAGACACAUUUAUAGAUCUUCCUUAUGCUUGAAAAUAGCCAUAUGAAAAUUGUGGUUUUAGGGUCUUUGAGGGAAGACCAAAACUGGAUAUGGUAAUAGCCUUGGAAUUAUGAGGCAGAAGUGUGGCAAAAUAAAGCAGAAAUGGGGGGAAAUUGCUAAGAUUUUAUCUAAGGCAAAGCAAAGUGGAAAUGGGACAAGGCUGGCUUGGGAAAUGUUGGCAGGAAACAAGCCUGCUGGCUCUUUUUGCUCCAGGGCAGCCUUUCCUACCUGGGCAUCAUUUCCUGGCUUCUUAAAAGAUGCAGACAGAUGAGAUCUGGAGUGUGGGUGAGUAAUAGAGAUAAGGAGGUGGGGAAAGAGAUGGUUUAUCAGUUAUCUAUUGCUGUGCAACAAACCUCCCCAAAACUCAGCACCUUAAAACAAUACCCAUUUAUUGCUUACAAUUCUGUGCAGCAGGAAAUCCCCUCAGGACUCAGCAGAGAUGGCUUAUCUCUGCUCCACACAUGGUCUGCUUAGCUCACUCAUGCAGCUGCAUUCAUCUGGGGCUGGGAGAGGCUGUAGCGUCCAGGAUGGCCUCCCUCAUAUGUUGGGAGCCUUGGUUCCGCCUGUCUGCUGGGUUGCUUCAGUUCACCUCCACCUGGCCUAUCUUUUCA
rnacentral:lncRNA from 1 species